CGCAAACUGCAUUGAGAAUGAUGGCCAGGGUAGCCGUAUGGAAGAUGAAUUAUUAAGACUACUAACAGCUUGGAUAAGUUUAGAAACAUUUAUGUUAUUUAUGUUUUUGUAGCAUAAGAUUAUAAGAUUAAUCAACCAAUCAAUGCAAAAACACAGGUAUUGAAACAAACAAUUCUGAAAAUCAACCUGCGAUAGAGCAUGCUGGGAAAUGGUUUUGAGUAGUAUUGAGCAAACAUACAUUUGUAAUUUUACUCAACAAGCUUGUUCAAAUUCAGCUUACUUUGAGCAGAGUUUGUUGAUUCACCAUACAGCUGUAAGGCUGCAAUAGCUUUGUGUGUUUUCUCAACAUUCGGGCAUAUAGCUGAACCAACAUACAGUGUUGCCUUCCAAGGGCACACAUGAAUUAGUCAUUCGACUCAAGUUUUUAUACAUUCAUAUCACUGUGAGCAAAGAUUGUUGAUGUUCACACAUUAGCUCAAUUUCUUGUCCUUCUGGCUUUUAAAUGGCUUUUUUUACUAUGUCGGCUAACAUAUAUUUUCUCUGAAGUGUGGGGGAAAUUACACAGAUUUCUAUCCAAAUUGAGAAAGUUCAGAAAGAAUUCAGAAAGUACUCAAGAUGCAUAAUGUAAGGAUUGUGUUUAAUACGCAUUUUUAGGUCCUCUUUGCUCAAUUCUGUUUCGCAGGGAAACUCUUAUUUCCUGCCAUGAAAUUGUUGUUGGAUAUGUUAUUACUGAUAUGUUUUCUGGUUGAUUUAUGUCCCAGAUGUACAUUUUUUUUAAAAUCUGAAAUAAAUAACAAUGUUUCCAGGCUGUCCAAUACAGUAUUUCAUAUUCAAUCUAAAUUGAAAUGUAUCAUGGGUAAAUUAGUAUGUUUGUUCUGUGGACAACAAUUUCUAAUGUUCUUUUUUUUGGUCAAGUUGCACUCCACUCUCUCCAGAUCGGUCUGAGAAGCUACCACCUGGGGCCAUUUUGUAAGGAACCUCGUCCUCCUUUUCUGAGGAGGAGAAGCAAGAAGGAUCGGAGGUCCAAAACGCAGCGUGGUAAGUGUCCAUAAUUUAAUGAAGCAAAAUGAACACUGAACAAAAACAAUAAGCAACAAAAGAACAGUCCCGUAAGGUGAAUGACAAACACUAAACAGGAAAUAAACACCCACGAAACCCAGGUGGAAAAAGGCUACCUAAGUAUAUUCUCAAUCAGAGACAACUAACGACACCUGCCUCUGAUUGAGAACCAUACUAGGCCGAACACAAAAACCAACAUAGAAAAACAAACAUAGACUGCCCCCCCAACUCAGGCCCUGACCAUACUAAAACAAAGACAAAACAAAGGAACUAAGGUCAGAACGUGACAGUACCCCCCUAAGGUGCGGACUCUGGCCGCAAAACCUGAACCUAUAGGGGAGGGUCUGGGUGGUGGCUCUGGCAGCUCAGGACAGACUGGCGGCUCUGGCGCGGGACGUGGACCCCACUUCACCAUAGUUUUUGUCCGCUUCCUCAACCCCCCCUUGGCCUCUUAUGAGCGGCGACCCUCGCCGCCGACCUCGGACUGGGGACCCUCGCAACGUGUCCCGAACGGACAGGACUCCGGCAGCGGGAGACUCCGGCAGCGCCGGGCAGGCGGGAGACUCCGGCAGCGCUGGAGUGAAGGGCGAUUCUGGCAUCGCCGAAGUGACAGGCGGCUCUGGCAGCUCCUGGCUGACUGACGGCUCUGGCAGCCCCUGGCUGACUGACGGCUCUGGCAGCUCCUGGCUGACUGGCGGCUCAGGACAGACUGGUGGCUCUGGUGGCUAAGGACAGACUGGUGGCUCUGGCGGCUCAGGACAGACUGGCGGCUCUGUUGGCUCUGGUGGCUCAGGACAGAUGGGAGACUCUGGUGGCUCAGGACAGACGGGAGACUCUGGUGGCUCAGGACAGACGGGAGACUCUGGUGGCUCAGGACAGACGGGAGACUCUGGCGGCUCAGGACAGACGGGAGACUCUGGCGGCUCAGGACAGACGGGAGACUCUGGCGGCUCAGGACAGACGGGAGACUCUGGCGGCUCAGGACAGACGGGAGACUCUGGCAGCUCAGGACAGAUGGGAGACUCUGGCAGCGCUGGAGUGGAGGAAGGCUCUGGCAGCGCUGGACAGGCGGGAGCACCUGUAGGGAGAAGACAGAGAGACAGCCUGGUGCGGGGGGCUGCCACCGGAGGGCUGGUACGUGGAGGUGACACCGGACAGACCGGACCGUGAAGGUGCGGACCGGCUCGAUGCCCACUCUAGCCCGGCUGAUACGAGGCACUGGGAUGUACCGGCACCGGGCUAUGCACAUGCACCGGGGGCACCGUGCGCCUCACGGAAUAACACGGUGCCUGCCCGGUCCCUCUCUCUCUCCGGUAAGCACGGGAAGUUGGCUCAGAAUCUCCUCCCAAGUCUAGGAGUCCUGCGAUCGAUGCUGCUGCUGCCCGUUACCACGCUGCUUGGUCCUUUUGUGUUGGGUGUUUCUGUAAUGUUCGUCGUCUUCCUCUGAUGAGGAGUAAGAUAGAUCGGACCAAUUUGAAGGGUGGCAAGUGUCCAUAAUUUAAUAAGAAAACUGAACACUACAAAAUACAAAACAAACAACGUGAAACAAACAAACCAGUCCCGUGUGGCACAAACACGGAAAAUAAACACCCACAACUCAAAAGUGAAACCCAGGCUACCUAAGUAUGAUUCUCAAUCAGACACAACGAUUUACAGCUGCCUCUGAUUGAGAACCAUACUAGGCCGAACACAGAAAUCCCAAAUUAUAGAAAAACGAACAUAGACAAGCCACCCAACUCACGCCCUGACCAUACUAAAACAAAUAUAUAAUAACAGAACUAAGGUCAGAACGUGACACAUUUUGACCCCAGGGGCAUAUUUUUGUUAUUACAGCCCAAAGUUUGUUUAUUAAAUUUUUAAAAUGUUUUAUGACUUUGUCAAUCAACUUGUUCUUAACAAAUCUAAAUAAUUGUUUAGUGUUUCUCUAUGAAUAUGGACUAUUUAAAAAUGUAAGUAAUUUGGGAUAAUUUUGACCUCAUAUACUUCUGCCUAUAUUAAUUGGAUAAAUAGGACCUUUAUUUGAAUCCAGGAUUCUCUGGAGACAUAACAAGUUACCCACCAGAGGGUGGAGGGGGACCUGUUAACCACACCACCAGAGGGUGGAGGGGAACUUGUUAACCACACCACCAGAGGGUGGAGGGGGACCUGUUAACCACACCACCAGAGGGUGGAAGGGGACCUGUUAACCACACCACCAGGGGGUGGAGGGGGACCUGUUAACCACACCACCAGAGGGUGGAGGGGGACCUGUUAACCACACCAACAGAGGGUGGAGGGGGACCUGUUAACCACACCACCAGAGGGUGGAGGGGGACCUGUUAACCACACCACCAGAGGGUGGAGGGGGACCUGUUAACCACACCACCAGAGGGUGGAGGGGGACCUGGUAACCACACCACCAGAGGGUGGAGGGGGACCUGGUAACCACACCACCAGAGGGUGGAGGGGGACCUGUAUCAGUGAUUUCGACCAGAUAGACAGAUCAUCUGCAGAGCUCCCCAUGUACUCUAAGAUGUAACUUUUCUAUACCACGCAUCAUAUGACUGUAUACAAAACCAAAAUAACCGUAUUUUUUUAUACAUAAAAUUUGCCAAAGGUAUACAAGGUCUGGUAAGGUUAUCAAUACUUGAUAGAACUGAAAUACAGAACUCAGAUAGGCUCUGAAUCCACAUAGAGAGAUGUAUUGGUGUGUAUUCCCCGAAAUUGUAGUUAUUUUAGGGCCUAUGGUUAUAAAUGGUUAUAACUAGGUAAGACCACAUACAUGCUUAGUAGUUGUCAAAACAGCUGAUAAAAGUAUGUCAGUGCUAUGAAUACUUGAUAAAAUAAUAAUACAAAAACCAGCUACCCUCUAAAUGUACACACAGUGUUGUAUUGGUGUGUAUUCUCCAAAAAAUACUUAUUCUACUGAAAAUAUGAUAUUAAUACCAGAAUUGCUAUAAUAUCCUCCAAUAUUUUAUAUGUGCAACUUGGACGUAUAUGUUUGGUGCUAUAUACUUUGGUUUGUAGUGACUUAGAUGUGGGCAUUCUUUUUGCAAUAGUUUGGUCAUUGUCUCUCAGAAUCACUUUUUGAAAUUAAUUGAAUACUUUUUGUCAAUAAAAUGUAUUUAAAAUGUUGCUGUACUGCCCCUCGAAAAUAUGAUAAUUUUGACUACAUGAAUAUGACACAAUUGAUAUUUACUUAAAAAUUCUGAAAACUAAAUGUAACUAUAAUUAAAUUACGGUAAAUUUGCUUUUUUAGUGCUAAUGUGGAUUGUACUUUGGAAAAAGCUGCAAAUUUUAUUUAAAAAAAAUGCAUACAUAUGUUUGACAGAAUAUGCUGAUUAACAGUAAUUUUGCUAAAAUAACAGUCUAUUCUGGUCAUCUUUUACUUCAGAUAACAUGUAGCAAAUGUUUUAUGAUGUUUUGAUAAAACAUAAGUUGAUAUUUUGCUGUGAUUGAUGCUUUUUCCAAUAGUUUCUUCUUGGGGUCAAAAUGACCCCAGUUGGUAAACGAUGUCUAUCAAAUAUUAUGUUGGUGGCUUGAGAAUUAAAUGAGCAGACAUGCAAUCUAUCUAUGAAAAGAAGUAUGGCCACGGAAAUUAAGUGAAAAUUCCAGUCUUGGCUGCAAUUUAUGUGAACAUACACUAUGUACUGUAGAACCUAAAAAGGUUAUUCGGCUGUCCAGAUAGGAGAACGCUUUGAAGAACCCUUUUUGGUUCCAGGUAGAACCCUUUUAGGAUCCAUGUAGAACCCUUUCCACAGAGGGAGAACAUCACCCUUGCUGACUUGUUUUCGUCCUAACCAACUCACUUUUCAGUCUCAGUCAGGCCUUUUUUAAUUACCACCUUUCUAUGAAUAGAAAAUGUAUUUUUCCUUCCAUAGCCGUCCUUUUCUUGUCGGCUAGGUUCUCUGUUCAGUUGGAGCUCUCAGUACAUCCUCAAUCUCCUUUACACAGCUAGAGCCAAACCAUCCCUGUCUAGCUUGAUCACAACACUGUCCAGCUCAUUCCCACCUACCUACAGCUCAGGAGCAGUAAACCCCUUGUGAAAUCUGUGAAUGUCUGGAAGCAGGACAGUAUAGAAUCACUUAAGGGAUGUUCUGUGUCCAGAUUGGGACAUUUUUCACGAGUUAGACAUGCACAAGUCAGCACAGGUUGUCACAAACUACAUACAUUUCUGUGUUGACUCUGAUAUGCCAGAAGACAAAAAGUCAUACCCAAACAACACACACUACAUCACAAAUGAGGUCAAGGACAUGGAUCAAUUGCAAGAGGCAAGAAGCAAGAGGCAACCAUUCAAAAACAAGGACAAACAACAACUGAAAUGGGUGCAAAAGGAGCUCAACCAAAUGCUCAGAGAGACAAGGAAACAACACACGGAAGCAGUGGGAACAAAUAGUUCCUUACAAAGAACUCCAAAAAAUGGUGGGAGUCGAUGCGAACAAUCAGCAACAUGAACCCUGCAAAAUAAAUCCUUGCACACACCAGAUGACCUGACCAAAGCCAAGGAAUUAAAAGUUUUUUUUUAUACAAGAUUUGAUGUACAUGACUUCUCUGUUGAGUGUGAUAAUGUGAUUGGCUCCAUUGUUAUUGAUUAUUGUGUUCCUAGGUUGGAAAUCAACCCUGUAGUUGUCAUUUGAGUCUUCAAGCACACCUGUAAGAAUAAAAAGAUCAUGGUGUGCGAGCUCCAUUCAGAUGUGAACCCUGUGUUAGAUCCUUAGUAAUUUGCCUAUAAGAAAAGUUGUGAGACAAGAUGAUGCAAUCAACACCAUAGUGCAUCUCAUUGUUAAGCAUCUGGAAAACCCGAGGCCUGUUAUUUAUUUUCAGCGUUUAACACAACACAGCCACAUGUCCUACUCAGUCAGUUUUAAAGCAGACGAGUGUUAACUCCUGUAUCAUAAGGUGGUAGCGCUCAUUCCUGACGAGCAAUACUCAGCAGGUUAGUGUUAACAGAACCCUCUCUGAGGCUAGAGACAUUAGCACAGGGGCCCGCAGGGUUGUGGGAGUGCACCCAUCUUAUUCAUCAUGUACACACAUGAAUACACCAGCAGUAAUCCUAAUGACUAUAUUGUCAAGUUUUC
ensembl:lncRNA